AUUGAACGCUGGCGGCAGGCCUAACACAUGCAAGUCGAGCGGAGCGGCGGACGGGUGAGUAAUGCCUAGGAAUCUGCCUGGUAGUGGGGGAUAACGUCCGGAAACGGGCGCUAAUACCGCAUACUAUCAGAUUAGCCUAGGUCGGAUUAGCUAGUUGGUGGGGUAAAGGCCUACCAAGGCGACGAUCCGUAACUGGUCUGAGAGGAUGAUCAAUCAAACUGGAAGGAAGGCACGGAGCAAACUCCUACGGGAGGCAGGAGUGGGGAAAAUUGGACAAGGGGGGGAAGCCUGGACCAGGCAUGCCGGGGGGGGGAAGUAGGUCUUCGGAUUUUAAAGCACUUUAAGUUGGGAGGCGUUACCAACAGAAUAAGCACCGGCUAACUUCGUGCCAGCAGCCGCGGUAAUUC
rnacentral:rRNA from 1 species